UUUUUGCAGGAGAUUUGGACUCUUUGGUUUGAAGUUUAUGUUGCUUUGACGUUAUAUGUCGUGGUAGAUAUUCUUCUGGAUCUUUACUUUUACAGGCAGUUAUUGAAUCUUUGAUGGUUGCCAUUUCCUCUAUUGUUGAUGUUAUGCAGGCAAUGGGAUCCUCUAUAGGCUCUUUGCUCUCGAGGGUGAGAUUUGCAUUGUUGAUACAACCAUUUCUGUUGCUUAUAUUGUAUUGCAGGUUCUAUGUGUGAGUAAAUUUCUCUUUACCCCACUUCUUUUCGUUACUAGACAAGUCUCAUUUUUCACUCAAGUGAUUUUUCCUAUGUGUGUGGGACUCAAAGUUACAUGCCAUAAUUCAGAACUUUCAUGCGUUUUUGUAAAUUGAUUGUUCCAAUGUUUGUAGUUGGAUAGUUAAGAGAAUGAACCUAACUCUGUAAGAUUAUAACCUGUUAUGGAAUAUCUGAUUGCUCUUCUGUGUUUUGACAAGUUUAAUAUGUAGCAGGAAAGGUUGAUGAUAAAGGUAUUAGGUGCAAUAUUUGC